AACGAACGCUGGCGGCAUGCCUAACACAUGCAAGUCGAACGAAGGCUUCGGCCUUAGUGGCGCACGGGUGAGUAACGCGUGGGAAACUGCCUAUCGGUGGGGAAUAACGACGGGAAACUGUCGCUAAUACCGCAUACGCCCUUUGGGGGAAAGAUUUAUCGCCGAUAGAUGUGCCCGCGUCCGAUUAGCUAGUUGGUGAGGUAAUGGCUCACCAAGGCGACGAUCGGUAGCUGGUCUGAGAGGAUGAUCAGCCACACUGGGACUGAGACACGGCCCAGACUCCUACGGGAGGCAGCAGUGGGGAAUAUUGGACAAUGGGCGAAAGCCUGAUCCAGCAAUGCCGCGUGAGUGAUGAAGGCCUUAUGGUUGUAAAGCUCUUUCGGGUGGGACGAUGACGACGGUACCACCAGAAGAAGCCCCGGCUAACUUCGUGCCAGCCGCCGCCGUAA
rnacentral:rRNA from 1 species